rnacentral:rRNA from 1 species
AUUGAACGCUGGCGGCAGGCCUAACACAUGCAAGUCGAGCGGUUGAAGGGAGCUUGCUCCCUGAUUCAGCGGCGGACGGGUGAGUAAUGCCUAGGAAUCUGCCUAUUAGUGGGGGACAACGUUUCGAAAGGAACGCUAAUACCGCAUACGUCCUACGGGAGAAAGCAGGGGACCUUCGGGCCUUACGCUAAUAGAUGAGCCUAGGUCGGAUUAGCUUGUUGGUGAGGUAAUGGCUCACCAAGGCGACGAUCCGUAACUGGUCUGAGAGGAUGAUCAGUCACACUGGAACUGAGACACGGUCCAGACUCCUACGGGAGGCAGCAGUGGGGAAUAUUGGACAAUGGGCGAAAGCCUGAUCCAGCCAUGCCGCGUGUGUGAAGAAGGUCUUCGGAUUGUAAAGCACUUUAAGUUGGGAGGAAGGGUUGUAGAUUAAUACUCUGCAAUUUUGACGUUACCGACAGAAUAAGCACCGGCUAACUCUGUGCCAGCAGCCGCCGUAA